CUUGCUCCACCGGAAAAAGAGGAGUGGCGAACGGGUGAGUAACACGUGGGUAACCUGCCCAUCAGAAGGGGAUAACACUNUGGAAACAGGUGCUAAUACCGUAUAACAAUCGAAACCGCAUGGUUUUGAUUUGAAAGGCGCUUUCGGGUGUCGCUGAUGGAUGGACCCGCGGUGCAUUAGCUAGUUGGUGAGGUAACGGCUCACCAAGGCCACGAUGCAUAGCCGACCUGAGAGGGUGAUCGGCCACAUUGGGACUGAGACACGGCCCAAACUCCUACGGGAGGCAGCAGUAGGGAAUCUUCGGCAAUGGACGAAAGUCUGACCGAGCAACGCCGCGUGAGUGAAGAAGGUUUUCGGAUCGUAAAACUCUGUUGUUAGAGAAGAACAAGGAUGAGAGUAACUGUUCAUCCCUUGACGGUAUCUAACCAGAAAGCCACGGCUAACUACGUGCCAGCAGCCGCGGUAAUACGUAGGUGGCAAGCGUUGUCCGGAUUUAUUGGGCGUAAAGCGAGUGCAGGCGGUUCAAUAAGUCUGAUGUGAAAGCCUUCGGCUCAACCGGAGAAUUGCAUCAGAAACUGUUGAACUUGAGUGCAGAAGAGGAGAGUGGAACUCCAUGUGUAGCGGUGGAAUGCGUAGAUAUAUGGAAGAACACCAGU
rnacentral:rRNA from 1 species